rnacentral:rRNA from 1 species
GAUGAACGCUGGCGGCGUGCCUAAUACAUGCAAGUCGAGCGAACAGAUGAGGAGCUUGCUCCUCUGACGUUAGCGGCGGACGGGUGAGUAACACGUGGAUAACCUACCUAUAAGACUGGGAUCACUUCGGGAAACCGGCGCUAAUACCGGAUAAUAUAUUGAACCGCAUGGUUCAAUAGUGAAAGACGGUUUUGCUGUCACUUAUAGAUGGAUCCGCGCCGCAUUAGCUAGUUGGUAAGGUAACGGCUUACCAAGGCAACGAUGCGUAGCCGACCUGAGAGGGUGAUCGGCCACACUGGAACUGAGACGCGGUCCAGACGCCUACGGGAGGCAGCAGUAGGGAAUCUUCCGCAAUGGGCGAAAGCCUGACGGAGCAACGCCGCGUGAGUGAUGAAGGUCUUCGGAUCGUAAAACUCUGUUAUUAGGGAAGAACAGAUGUGUAAGUAAAUAUGCACGUCUUGACGGUACCUAAUCAGAAAGCCACGGCUAACUACGUG